ACUGAACGCUGGCGGCAUGCUUUACACAUGCAAGUCGAACGGUAACAGGUCUUCGGAUGCUGACGAGUGGCGAACGGGUGAGUAAUACAUCGGAACGUGCCUAGUAGUGGGGGAUAACUACUCGAAAGAGUAGCUAAUACCGCAUGAGAUCUACGGAUGAAAGCAGGGGACCUUCGGGCCUUGUGCUACUAGAGCGGCUGAUGGCAGAUUAGGUAGUGGGUGGGGUAAAGGCUUACCAAGCCUGCGAUCUGUAGCUGGUCUGAGAGGACGACCAGCCACACUGGGACUGAGACACGGCCCAGACUCCUACGGGAGGCAGCAGUGGGGAAUUUUGGACAAUGGGCGAAAGCCUGAUCCAGCAAUGCCGCGUGCAGGAUGAAGGCCCUCGGGUUGUAAACUGCUUUUGUACGGAACGAAAAGCCUGGGGCUAAUAUCCCCGGGUCAUGACGGUACCGUAAGAAUAAGCACCGGCUAACUACGUGCCAGCCGCCGCCGUAA
rnacentral:rRNA from 1 species